CAUCUUGGGCUGAAAGGUGAAGGGUCGCCCUGGGGUCGGGUGACGUCACGCGGAGGCCCUCCCUGCUGUGUGAAGUUGUCCUGAACAAGAUGCUGCCUAACUUGCUGAGUUUUCCCAGCAUUUUGUGCUUUGGCCAUAAUCAAAUGGAUCUACCCGAGGUGCUGCCGCAAAACGGCAGCCAUUGUCAUCAAAGAUGACAACACUCUCAUCUUGCUGCUACCAUCAGGAGGAGGCUAAGGAGCCUGAAAACUGACCACCAGGUUCAAGAACAGUCCCAGGCCAGCAACCACCAGACUCUUGAACACGUGACACUAACCUCAGCAACUACGAUCUUCUAUGGACUGUGUCUUUAGCUGCAUUACGGGUUUUUUGUGUAUUAUAUAGUUACCUAGUAAUACAGUUGUUCAUUUAUAGUAUUUUUAAUUAUAUGUUAUCUGUAUGUAUUGAGUUUAUAGAACUGUUAUGCAGCUGCAAGUAGGAAUUUCAUAGUUCUGUUGGUACAUAUGACAAUUAAAUGCUCUUGACUUGUAUUUGUACACAUUAAACUGACUAUUUAAAAAAAAGUAUUUCAUGGGA